AACGAACGCUGGCGGCAGGCCUAACACAUGCAAGUCGAACGUGAAGCCACCUUCGGAUGGUGGAAAGUGGCAGACGGGUGAGUAACGCGUGGGAACGUGCCUUUCGGUUCGGGAUAACCCAGGGAAACUUGGGCUAAUACCGGAUACGCCCUUCGGGGGAAAGAUUCAUUGCCGAAAGAUCGGCCCGCGUCGGAUUAGCUAGUUGGUGGGGUAAAAGCCUACCAAGGCGACGAUCCGUAGCUGGUCUGAGAGGAUGACCAGCCACACUGGGACUGAGACACGGCCCAGACUCCUACGGGAGGCAGCAGUGGGGAAUAUUGGACAAUGGGCGCAAGCCUGAUCCAGCCAUGCCGCGUGGGUGAAGAAGGCCCUAGGGUUGUAAACCCCUUUCAGCGGGGAAGAUAAUGACGGUACCCGCAGAAGAAGCCCCGGCUAACUCCGUGCCAGCCGCCGCAGUAA
rnacentral:rRNA from 1 species